rnacentral:tRNA from 1 species
GGCCUUGUAGUGAAUGAAACAUAUUGAAUUGCAAAUUCAAAGAAGCAGCUUCAAUUCUGCCGGGGCUU